rnacentral:rRNA from 1 species
CCUACGGGAGGCAGCAGUGGGGAAUAUUGGACAAUGGGGGGAACCCUGAUCCAGCCAUGCCGCGUGUGUGAAGAAGGCCCUCGGGUUGUAAAGCACUUUCAGUGAGGAAGAACGCCUGGUGGUUAAUACCCAUCAGGAAAGACAUCACUCACAGAAGAAGCACCGGCUAACUCCGUGCCAGCAGCCGCGGUAAUACGGAGGGUGCGAGCGUUAAUCGGAAUUACUGGGCGUAAAGCGCGCGUAGGUGGCUUGAUAAGCCGGUUGUGAAAGCCCCGGGCUCAACCUGGGAACAGCAUCCGGAACUGUCAAGCUAGAGUGCAGGAGAGGAAGGUAGAAUUCCCGGUGUAGCGGUGAAAUGCGUAGAGAUCGGGAGGAAUACCAGUGGCGAAGGCGGCCUUCUGGACUGACACUGACACUGAGGUGCGAAAGCGUGGGUAGCAAACAGGAUUAGAUACCCUGGUAGUC